rnacentral:misc_RNA from 1 species
AGAGAAUUGAUUUUUCUACUGGAAAUGAAAUAAUUUUAAGACUAUCAAAAAGUGCAAACUCUCUCUAUCUGAGGUCUAAUUGUAAUUUUGUUGGGUUGACUGGAUACCAUGUAUGAUGUAUCAAUGGAUAGACAUUUAUUGGAAUUUUUAGUCUUUCACUAACCUUACUUUAUAGCUUGAGUCAAACUCCAGAACAGGAAUUUGCUUUAUGUUUUUAU